rnacentral:rRNA from 1 species
GAUGAACGCUGGCGGCGUGCCUAAUACAUGCAAGUCGAGCGAACAGAUAAGGAGCUUGCUCCUUUGACGUUAGCGGCGGACGGGUGAGUAACACGUGGGUAACCUACCUAUAAGACUGGGAUAACUUCGGGAAACCGGAGCUAAUACCGGAUAACAUUUGGAACCGCAUGGUUCUAAAGUGAAAGAUGGUUUUGCUAUCACUUAUAGAUGGACCCCGGCCGUAUUAGCUAGUUGGUAAGGUAACGGCUUACCAAGGCAACGAUACGUAGCCGACCUGAGAGGGUGAUCGGCCACAUUGGAACGGAGACACGGUCCAGACGACUACGAGAGGCAGCAGUAGGGAAUCUUACGCAAUGGGCGAAAGCCUGACGGAGCAACGCCGCGUGAGUGAUGAAGGGUUUCGGCUCGUAAAACUCUGUUAUUAGGGAAGAACAAAUGUGUAAGUAACUGUGCACGUCUUGACGGUACCUAAUCAGAAAGCCACGGCUAACUACGUG